GCCCGUGCCUCUCCCUCCACACCUCCCCGCAACUGAGGGAGCCGGCUCCGGCCUCGGCCAGCCCAGAAAGGGGCUCACACAGUGCAGGGCCGGGCUGAAGGGCUCCUUAAGGGCGGCCAGAGUUGGCGCCAAGGCUGAGGAGGUGCCCAGAGCGAGCGAGGGCUGCCAGGGCUGCUAGCAGGCUGUCACCUCUCAAUAGCAGUUUUGUAUAUGGGAUCUAGCCCCUCCCUAAGAGGUUGAUUCUAAGGAAGCCAACAGCCGUGUUGUGAGUACCCAAUGGAAAGUCUGUUGUGGCAGAAAACUGAUGUCUCCAGCCAACAGCACUGAGGCCCUGAGACCUGCCAACUGUCAUGAUCUUCCGAUGCCUGGACACAGAAAGAGCAGUGGAAGGGGUCGUUGCAUGAGCAAAGACAAAGAGUGGGACACUGACUGUUACAUCUCAAGGAGAAGGAUUGCCAGAUCAAAAGUCUUGCAGUUAACCAGGCGUGGUGGCAGAUACCUGUAAUCCCAGCUAUUCGGGAGGCUGAGGCAGGAGAAUCGCUUGUACCCGGGAGGCAGAGGUUGCAGUGAGCUGAGACCGCGCCAUUGACUCCUGCCUGAUGACAAGAGAGAAUCUACGUCUCAACAACAACAACACGCUUGGGCACUGUAUUAACUCCAUAAUCGGUUUAUUCAUAAUGCUGCAUCAUCCAACCAUCAUCCAACCUAUUUAUCAUUCACAAUGCCACCUGUGAAUACUGGCUUCCAUUGACUCUUUCAAGAAUUGCUACUGGGCCUCACCAAUGUUGACCACAAAUGCAAGUCAUACUGAGAGCCUCUGUGCUCUUUCCCCUGUGGACAAUAACUACCAUUUCAUCCUGGACACCCAUUGUUUGCCUGGACCACACCUUGUUAUGACCAUAACCCUCAGUCAGACUCAACCUUCCUUCAAGAUCUGCAGAUCUAAAUUUUAUUGGGAACAGCUAGUUUGACAAGCAUAGACCAGAUGUCCAGUUGUCAUUCAUUCAGCAGGAGCAGCAAGAUUCAAUCAUGUUUUUAUUAUAUUAUUUCCUGAAACUUGUGGCUGUAACAAUGAAGUUUGAGGAUUGGUCUGUGUAAGUAUGGCAGAAGUGAUGUUAAGUCGCUUAUGAGAUUAGGGUAUAAAAGACUAAGGCUUCCAUGCUUCCAUCUUGGUCUCUGUCUCUCAGAGAACAGUCAUGUGAAUGAUUCUUCUUGAAAGUAAAUCUUCCAGCCCCAGUCCAGUAUUCAAAUGAUCCAGCAACAUUGCAACUUAUGAGAGACCUUGAGCCAUCCAGGUAACAUGCUUCCAAAUCCUGACCCUUAAAACCUGUAAAAUAAUAAAUGUGGUUUUAAACUCUUAAGUAAUUUGUUACAUAGUAAUAAAUAGCUAAUACACC
rnacentral:lncRNA from 10 species